rnacentral:rRNA from 1 species
UACGAAGGGUGCAAGCGUUACUCGGAAUUACUGGGCGUAAAGCGUGCGUAGGUGGUUCGUUAAGUCUGAUGUGAAAGCCCUGGGCUCAACCUGGGAAUGGCAUUGGAUACUGGCGACCUAGAGUGCGGUAGAGGGGUGUGGAAUUCCCGGUGUAGCAGUGAAAUGCGUAGAUAUCUGGAGGAACACCGGUGGCGAAGGCGGCAUCCUGGACCGGCAUUGACGCUGAGGCGCGAAAGCCAGGGGAGCAAACGGG